CGCCUGGAAAGCAGGGAGCACUUUCAAGUUGAAGUCAGGAGCCCGCCUGGAAAGCAGAGAAUACAUUUCAAGUUAGCAGUCAGGGAGCCCCGCCUGGAGAAUAGGGUCAGUUUUUACUUUAGCCAAGCUUAGUUUACAGUUUUCCUAGUCUAUUCUUUAGUUUAAUUUCAUCAUUGCAUCAAUAAUACAGGUGGUUUACAAUUUUGCUAACAACUCACAAAUCUUCCUAGUGCAAACUGGGGCAGAAAAAUUUCUUUAUUUUGGUUAUUUUGUUGUAAUCAGGCGCCCACCUGGAGAACAAGGGAAAACAACUCAAGUUUCUAGGGAAAGCAGUUUCGAAGGAAGACAGUUCGAGUUUCAGGGAAAAUGGUUCAAAGUGCAAGGGAAAACAGUGUCAAGUAACAAGAGAAGACGGUUCAAGUUCAGCAAUUAGGCGCCCACCUGGAAAAAAAAGGGAAUUCAAUUCAGAAUGCAAUUCAGAAGUUGAUGAAGGAUGUGAGAUGCUCAAGACAUGGCCGAGGUCACAAGCACUACAUGUCCGGUCCUGACCCAAAAGCUGUAGAAGAACGAGCUAGCACCUGCAGCUAACAAGUGUCAAGGUUCAAAUCUAAAGUCUGCAUGAAGAACCAUUCAAAACUCAAGAUCAAGCUUCAGAAGACUUAUAGAUAGGAAUCUUGUAACUCGUAGUCGAUAGGCUUAGCUAGUCUUUUUCAUCUUUUGAUUUUCGAUGUAAUAACAGAGACCGCAGACCGGAACCUCGACGGAACGGCACCUCGACCGGAUCUCCACCUCGGCAUACUCUGUCAUCUCACUCAUCUCUAAACUACACGUGGCCUUAUUCCUUUAUAGCCAAGGAUAUGUAGGCAGCUCAAAUGCCAGAGCUCGGUCACAUCCCC
rnacentral:lncRNA from 1 species